CCUUAGUAACAAAUACUAUUUUCCCUGUGUACGUAAUCUAUCUUCUUCUCCCUGUAAAAAGCUUUGAUUGUUGGUGUAUAAAAUGUUUAUUACUUUAUCUCUUCUCUUUCGUUUGCGGUCGCUACUUCACAUGCGUCUACUCGAGUUCAUCUUUUCUCUCCCAGCGGCAGCACCAACUUGGCAACCACUAUUCUCUUCCUAUGCUACCAAAUAGGUAGUCAAGACCAGCGGUAGAACAAAAAUUGACAGAAACCAGCAUAGUUCUUCAAUCUUCAUAUAUCUGUGUUUAAGGUACUUGAAGACAAACCCACAAAUACUUAUAAGGAUGAAGCCACACCACUCAAGUCCGCGAG